GACGAACGCUGGCGGCGUGCUUAACACAUGCAAGUCGAACGAGGCUCCGUUCUUCCGGUUGGGGUUCUAGUGGCGAACGGGUGAGUAACACGUGGGCAACCUGCCCCUGGCUCUGGGAGUAACUCCAAGAAAUUAGGGGCUAAUACCGGAUAUGACCGCUGAUCGCAUGGUCUGGUGGUGGAAAGAUUUAUCGGCUGGGGAUGGGCCCGCGGCCUAUCAGCUUGUUGUGGGGUAGUGGCCUACCAAGGCGACGACGGGUAGCCGG
rnacentral:rRNA from 1 species